rnacentral:rRNA from 1 species
UACGAAGGGGGCUAGCGUUGCUCGGAAUCACUGGGCGUAAAGCGCACGUAGGCGGCUUGUUAAGUCAGGGGUGAAAUCCUGGAGCUCAACUCCAGAACUGCCUUUGAUACUGAGUAUCUUGAGUACGGGAGAGGUGAGUGGAACUGCGAGUGUAGAGGUGAAAUUCGUAGAUAUUCGCAAGAACACCAGUGGCGAAGGCGGCUCACUGGCCCGUUACUGACGCUGAGGCACGAAAGCGUGGGGAGCAAACAGG